rnacentral:rRNA from 1 species
CUCGUAGGCGGCCAACUAAGUCAGACGUGAAAUCCCCAGGCUUAACCUGGGAACUGCGUCUGAUACUGGAUGGCUUGAAUUCGGGAGAGGGAUGCAGAAUUCCAGGUGUAGCGGUGAAAUGCGUAGAUAUCUGGAGGAAUACCGGUGGCGAAGGCGGCAUCCUGGACCGACAUUGACGCUGAGGAGCGAAAGCUAGGGGAGCAAACG